AAAAAAAACAACACACUGCAUCCUGCAGUUCUCACCUACUGUUCAAUAUCUCUGUUGAUAAGUAGAAAAACCUGCCUAACAUUCCGCCUCCCCAGGUGUGUGGCUCUCACUGCUGGCCCAUCGCUCUUUGUAAUUUUAUAACUGCAUAAGCAAUUAAAUGUGUUGUGAUAAGUAGUCUGUGUCUUCUUCCUUUCGUGUGCUGCUUGAAAAGUUGGGGCCGGAUGAGCUGAAGGUGAUGCUGUGUGUUCUGGAUGAUGUGGCCCAAACCCAACUGCCCAGCAGUAGUAAACCUUCAAUCUUUGUUGUGUAGCAGCUCUCAAAAAAAUUCAGCUUGGCUUUUGCUGAGACUGGGGAAGGACCAGCUGAGCUUCUUCUGGUAUAUUUUGCUUGAAACCACAAUUCUGCUCCUCCUCCUCCUCCUUAAAGCUCUCUUGAGGGACUUGGGUUUGCGUUUUUCUCCUGUUCCUCAGGUGAGUUUAGGUGACUUCCUUUAUACUUCAUUCUGUGGGUUGCACCUGUAGCAGUGCUUUCACAUACGUUCCCUGUUUGCUGUGCUGUCACUCGGAGCUUGCUGCUUCUCACCUUCAGCCCAGGAGGGAGUUCUGGAGUGAGGCCAUGCAGGUGGGUGAGGUGACAUCUCCUGCAUGCAUCCUUUCCUUUGCAGACUGUGACCAAACCCUCCAAGCAAGGUGGGUGACAGAGGGAGCCUGCUGUGUGGUGGUGGAGGAGCACACGGUGAUGGAAGGUCUUCAUUCUCCUGCAUGACUGUUGUGCAGUGAAUUCAGUGAAGCUGCAGACGUCUCCUCUCCUGAUCUGGCUCUGGAGAGCAAUGUUUUCCUGCUGGUGCCAUUUAUGUGCCGUCCCUUGCUGCAGGCAGAAUCAGCUGUGUUAGCACGGAUGAGUGAUUCUAAACUGUUCAUUCAGCUGCUGAUGACGUUUCCCUUCUUCUGCCUGGAGCAAGCUGCGGAUCAGAGGCUGUUUGCAUUCAGUGAGUGGCCGUGACUUCCAGGCGAGGUGGUGGCACCUCUGUCCCCGUGCCCAAGGUGGGAGUGCUCACCUGGACCCAUUGGUGACACAGGAGGUGCGGCUGCUGCUCUGCUGCCCUGCGUAUGGUCACUGCAAAGCAUCAUCAAAGUGAUGACAGUUAACAAAACCCAACUCUGCUGGAAGGAAGAGCGUGCCAAGGGGCAUUUCUGGAGGCUACCCCCAUCCAGCACCUCCCGGCCAAAUGAGAUGGCAUCACCUCGUUCCUCCCUGUGGAAUUAAUCAGCGCUCGGAGCAGUGAGCCUCGUUGAUUCUAUGGUCAUCCAUCCCAUCCCUGCAUCCAUCCAUCUUUGGAACGGCCAAUGCUGGACCCGUCGCCCCAUCUCAUGUUUGGAGGGGAAGAGAAAGCUCCCUGCAAUGGGAGCAAAGUCCUAAAUGAAACGAGGUACGGUUUUUCAUGUUGAUGAAUGCUCUGCAGCCCCGCACCUCCGGACAGUCCCUAUGGGCGGUCCCUAAGGGCCGUGUCCGUAGGCAGGGCCGUGAACGCGCUCCGUUCGGCAGAAAAGCCGUUUCUGAGCCUCGGGGCCAUCG